CCAUUUUAACCAUUUUUGUGUGUAUGGUUCAGUGACCUCAAAUGCAUCCACAUUGUUGUGGAAUCAUUACCACCAUCUAUCUCCAGAAAUUUAGAUCCAGUUCAUUUUGGAUUCAGAGAUGCUACACAUUUCCAUGAAGGACAAGAAACUUGUGCUGUCUUCCUCAGGAGGGCAAAGUAUCAGUGGAAGUUUUUUCUGAAGGCUCCUUACCUCUUCGCUCUCCUCCCUAAGGGAAAGAAGUUGGCUGCAAAGCUCCAAGGAAAUGAGUUACAGCCCAGAGUUGAAGGCAUCCAAUCCCAGGACCCAAACAUGUCCCAGGCCCGUUUUUCUUGCUCCGCAACCUGGCUGAGGUUGAACUUGACUCAAAGUUGGGGAAGCACAGGAAGAGAGUUUCGAGCUAAUGUAAGAUAUGGUUUCUCUGAAUCUGCU
rnacentral:lncRNA from 1 species